rnacentral:rRNA from 1 species
CCCGACUGCUAUUUGGGUGAGGAUAAGCCAUGCGAGUUGAAUGGGAAACCUAAAAAUCCCAUGGCAAACUGCUCAGUAACACAUGAUCAACUUACCCUAUAGAGGAAAAUAACCUCGGGAAACUGAGGAUAAUGUUCCAUAGUUGAAUCGGCUUGGAAAAGUUUUUCAAUUAAAGGGAUAAGGAAAAUGGUUCUUAUCUGCUAUAGGAUAGGAUCGUGCUCGAUUAUGGUUGUUGGUGAGGUAAAGGCACACCAAGCCGAUAAUCGAUAGGGGCCGUGAGAGCGGGAGCCCCAAGAUGGGUACUGAGACGGCGACCCAGGCCUUACGAGGCGCAGCAGGCGCGAGACCUCCGCAAUACACGAAAGUGUGACGGGGUUACCCAAAGUGUUCUCUUAAGAACUGUGGUAGGUGAGUAAUGUCCCCUACUAGAAAGGAGAGGGCAAGGCUGGUGCCAGCCGCCGCGGUAAAACCAGCUCUUCAAGUGGUCGGGAUAAUAUUGGGCUUAAAGUGUCCGUAGCCGGUUUAGUAAGUUCCUGGUAAAAUCGGGUAGCUUAACUAUCUGCAUGCUAGGAAUACUGCUAUACUAGAGGGCGGGAGAGGUCUGAGGUACUACAGGGGUAGGGGUGAAAUCUUAUAAUCCUUGUAGGACCACCAGUGGCGAAGGCGUCAGACUGGAACGCGCCUGACGGUGAGGGACGAAAGCCAGGGGAGCGAACCGGAUUAGAUACGCGGGCAGAAUAAUAAAAAACUAACACCAUGCUAAAAACCCGGGUAGUCCUGGCCGUAAACGAUGCAUACUAGGUGAUGGUACGGCCAUGAGCCGUAUCAGUGCCGUAGGGAAACCGUUAAGUGUGCCGCCUGGGAAGUACGGUCGCAAGGCUAAAACUUAAAGGAAUUGGCGGGGGAGCACCGCGAGGGGUGAAGCCUGCGGUUCA